rnacentral:rRNA from 1 species
UACGUAGGGUGCGAGCGUUAAUCGGAAUUACUGGGCGUAAAGUGUGCGCAGGCGGCCGAGCAAGUCGAGUGUGAAAGCCCCGGGCUUAACUUGGGAAUUGCGCUCGAAACUACGUGGCUGGAGUGUGGCAGAGGAAGGUGGAAUUCCAGGUGUAGCGGUGAAAUGCGUAGAGAUCUGGAGGAACACCGAUGGCGAAGGCAGCCUUCUGGGCCAACACUGACGCUCAUGCACGAAAGCGUGGGGAGCAAACAGG